AUUGAACGCUGGCGGAAUGCUUUACACAUGCAAGUCGAGCGGCAGCGCGGGGGCAACCCUGGCGGCGAGCGGCAAACGGGUGAGUAACACAUCGGAACGUACCCAGUUGUGGGGGAUAACCCGGCGAAAGCCGGAUUAAUACCGCAUACGACCUGAGGGUGAAAGGGGGGGAUCGCAAGACCUCUCGCAGUUGGAGCGGCCGAUGGCGGAUUAGCUAGUUGGAGAGGUAAAGGCUCACCAAGGCGACGAUCCGUAGCUGGUUCGAGAGGACGACCAGCCACACGGGAACUGAGACACGGUCCAGACUCCUACGGGAGGCAGCAGUGGGGAAUUUUGGACAAUGGGGGCAACCCUGAUCCAGCCAUUCCGCGUGAGUGAAGAAGGCCUUCGGGUUGUAAAGCUCUUUCGGCAGGAACGAAACGGUGGAGGCUAAUACCUUUCAUCAAUGACGGUACCUGAAGAAGCACCGGCUAACUACGUGCCAGCCGCCGCCGUAA
rnacentral:rRNA from 1 species